rnacentral:rRNA from 1 species
GAGUAACGCGUAGGUAACCUGCCUUGUAGCGGGGGAUAACUAUUGGAAACGAUAGCUAAUACCGCAUAACAAUGGAUGACCCAUGUCAUUUAUUUGAAAGGGGCAAAUGCUCCACUACAAGAUGGACCUGCGUUGUAUUAGCUAGUAGGUGAGGUAACGGCUCACCUAGGCGACGAUACAUAGCCGACCUGAGAGGGUGAUCGGCCACACUGGGACUGAGACACGGCCCAGACUCCUACGGGAGGCAGCAGUAGGGAAUCUUCGGCAAUGGGGGCAACCCUGACCGAGCAACGCCGCGUGAGUGAAGAAGGUUUUCGGAUCGUAAAGCUCUGUUGUAAGUC